UCAGGCCCUGCUGCAAACCCCGGUCUCGGAGUCGUUGCUGCCCCGAGCGGGGCUGGAGCCUCACAGCAGCAACAUGGCUGUUGAUUUGGAAGAUGAAGACGACCGAUUUCAGCACAGUGCUAACUCUGCAUAUAAACCAGUGAAUACCUCUUUCCAAGAAGAAGAGCCUCUGAUUGAGGAGCCAGUGGGGAACAGAUACAGUCUGCAAAAGCCGAAGGAUCACUUAAAUGGUGCCUAUGUUAUUUUUUUCAUCCUGGGUAUUGGCUCUCUGUUGCCUUGGAACUUUUUUAUCACAGCAAAACAAUACUGGAUAUAUAAACUUCAGAACUGCUCCAAUCAGCAGGAUCCAAAGGGACAUGGAGUCUCUGAUCUCCGUGACUACUUUGAAAGUUACAUUUCCAUUGCCUCAACUGUGCCUUCAGUGCUCUGCCUGAUUGGAAACUUUGUGCUAGUCAACAGGGUAUCUGCCAGCAUCCGCAUUCUGUCCUCCUUGGCUGUCAUGCUGGCUGUCUUCGUGGUGAUCACUGUGCUGGUGAAAAUGGACACAUCCACGUGGACACAGCGUUUUUUUGUCAUAACCAUAGUUUGCGUGGUUAUAGUCAGCAGCGCCUCAACCAUCUUCUCCAGCAGCAUCUUUGGCCUGACAGGCUGUUUCCCCAUGAAGAAUUCGCAGGCGUUGAUUUCAGGUCAGGCCAUGGGGGGCACAGUCAGUGCUGUGGCAUCGGUGGUGGACCUGGCAGCAGCAGCUGAUGUUACAGACAGCGCCUUGGCCUACUUCCUGACAGCAGAUGUCUUCAUCAUUGUCUGCAUUGUGGUAUACCUGAUUCUUCCCAAGUUGGAAUACUCCAGGUACUACAUGAGAAGCCACAAGGGUAGCACACACCCAGCUGGUGUAUUGCCUAGCAGUUAUUUAGAGGGAGUGGAUGAGUCAAAAGGCAUCACCAACAGCUCAUUUCCAGCCAAAGUGACCAGUGACCAAAAUAUCCCACCCCUACGUCCUAUCCUGAAGAAGACCGCUGUCCUGGGCUUCUGUGUCUUCUAUGUCUUUUUCAUCUCUAUCAUCAUAUUUCCUUCCAUCUCCUCCAGCAUAGAAUCUGUCAACAAGGACUCGGGGAGCUUAUGGACCAAUAAGUACUUCAUCCCCCUCACCAGUUUCCUUUUGUACAAUUUUGCUGACUGGUGUGGACGGCAAAUCACCGCCUGGAUCCAGGCCCCUGGCCCAAAGAGCAAACUGCUCCCUGCUCUGGUCCUCCUGAGGACUUUGUCACUACCCCUAUUCAUGUUAUGUAACUAUCAGCCUCGGAGCCAUAUCAAAAUGGUAAUCUUCAACAAAGAUGUCUACCCGGCUGUCUUCAUUGUGCUCUUAGGACUCAGCAAUGGUUACCUGGGUACCUUAGCUAUCAUCUAUGGCCCCAAGAUCUUGCCAAAAGAGUUGGCAGAGGCAACAGGGGUGGUGAUGACAUUUUACCUGACGUUAGGAUUGGCAUUGGGAUCUGCCUGCUCAAUUCUUUUGGUCCAUCUAAUAUAGAAGAGAGGUGGGAGGGUGAGGGUGUUACCAGCAUCUUGGGCAGCACCAGAUUGAGGCCACCAGCAGUUGGCUGAAGAACCAGCUCCUUUCCCCAGGGAAUCUAUGAAGUUACAUUCCUGAACCUCUGAUCCUGAUCAGGUGUAGUGGGGCUUGGAAAUCAAGCUCCUGAAAAGCAGGUGGGCAGGAAAGUUGAGGGAAAGCAGCGGAGUUACUUGCUGAACCUGAAAGUCAGGUGAAAUGCAUCCCUCAUUAAGAAGCUCAUAAAAGGAGUGCCUAGCUAAUAUGGGGAGAAACAAAGCAUCUGCAGAGAUUCUCUAGGCUCAAAAAGGAGCUUGAUAUGUACCCUAUUCAUCGCUGUCACCAUGUCUGUUAUCAUUUUGGUCUUAUAUUAACUAUUUGCUGGCUUCCCAAGCAUGAAGGCUGACUAAACUGGUUCAAGUUACCGUUUCGGUAGAGGUGAACUAAUAAUGAGUUUUGUAAAAGAACACGAACAAAUAAACAAGCGCCCCCUCCCCCCCCUGGUUUGUGGGGAAGUUCCCACAGACUGUGUCAAAGGGGGUUAGUCCAGAAUGCCAGUUGUGAUGGUGUGAAAGCUUCAUCUCCAGGAACAACUCGUUAGGUCCGGUGGAUGUGCACCAAAUGCUGCUCUUUUCCUUCCACCCACAAUUAUGCCUUCUUUCAUACAUCUGCUGGACCCAACAUUGCAAGACCUAACAUUUUCAGAUGCUUCAGUAAGCCCCACUAUUUUCUGCUGGACAAUUUAAAAGGACACUCUUGGAGGAUUUGUAAUUGUUUUAUUACUGAAUUAAUGCUGUGGGACCUUGAAAAUGAAAUCUAUUUCCCUGUGGAAUACUUCCCUCGUAUGAUGUACAUAAACACUGCUUUGUUAUUUAGGAUUGCUUAUUACAGUUGACAUUGGAAAAAAACUGAGCCUGGAAUAGAACUGUGUUGGGAUAUAUAUGUACAUAACCUCCAUUCGGGGUAAGAUAUUUUAAAAAGAGGCUUAAACCCAGCAUCCAGUUUUAUAGCUGCAGUCAAUUGUACAGACACAGACAAACAAUGGCAUUAACACUUCUAAUUAGCUGACUGCAACUGCAAAUCAGGUAGAUGCCUAAAUACAAUCUCUUGUGUCUGCAAAUGUAAAGCCAUAAUUAAAAUAUUGCCUGUUGAUAGCUCUGGGCGGGGCUGAAUGUAACUGUGACAAAGUGGGUUUUUUUUACCUUGUUAUGUUGCAUGUGAGUUUUACUGUCCUGUACUAAUACUGUGUGUAUCUCAGUUUCCCUGUGUACUGCCCCAGUGCGUAGGUGGUGGGAAUUGGGUGCGUGACUUUUGCGGAGGCCCUUGAGGCAGGUGAGGCUGCCCAGCUGCCUGCACAGAGGUGAUGGUCGAUGCCUUUCAUAACCUGAGAACCAGGAAAGGGAUGCAACCAGGUGACAUUUUGCCCAGGAAGCAGGACAAAGAGCGGAGGAGGAGCAACGGGCAUGUCGGAGGCCAGGCAGCAGGGUCCAUGGCAGUCUGCUGUGGGGAACUGGAAGAGGGGGAGUCCAGGCCAUCUGGCCCAGGGAUCCCCCAAGAUGGACUUGGCUAAAACUC